rnacentral:sRNA from 1 species
GAACCGUGAAAGCGUGGCCUA